UGAUAUUUAUUGAAGGGCCGCAGUAUUUUGACUGUGCAAAGGUAGCAUAAUCAUUAGUCUUUUAAUUGAGGGCUUGUAUGAAUGAUUGAACGAGAUAUAGUCUGUCUCAAAUAAAAUUUAAGUAGAAUUUUAUUUUUUAGUUAAAAAGCUAAAAUAUAUUUAAAAGACGAGAAGACCCUAUAGAUCUUUAUAAUUUAUUUGUAAAUUUUUUUAGGUUAUUUUUUAAAUUUAUAAUUAUAAUUAUUUUGUUGGGGUGACAGUAAAAUUUAAAAAACUUUUACUAUUAUAUAACAUUAAUUUAUGAUUGUUUGAUCCAGUUUUAUUGAUUAAAAAUUUAAGUUACCUUAGGGAUAACAGCGUAAUUAUUUUGGAGAGUUCAUAUCGAUAAAAUAGUUUGCGACCUCGAUGUUGGAUUAAGAUUAAUUUUGGGGGUAGAUUUUCAAAAUAUUAAGUCUGUUCGACUUUUAAUUUCUUACAUGAUC
rnacentral:rRNA from 1 species